rnacentral:rRNA from 1 species
AUUGAACGCUGGCGGCAGGCCUAACACAUGCAAGUCGAGCGCGCGGCGGGCGCGUGAGUGAUGUAUGGGGACUGCCCGAUAGAGGGGGAGAACUCCUGGAGACGGUAGCUAAUACAGCAUACUAUCGGAUAACCCAUAUGGGAUUAGCUAGUGGGUGUGGUAAUGGCUCACCUAGGCGACGCUCCCUAGCUGGUGUGAGAGGAUGAUCAGCCACACUGGAACUGAGACACGGCCCAGACUCCUCCGGAGGCAGCAGUGGGGAAUAUUGCACAAUGGGCGCAAGCCUGAUGCAGCCAUGCCGCGUGUAUGAAGAAGGCCAUAGGGUUGUAAAGUACUUUCAGUCGGGAGGCGUUACCGACAGAAGAAGCACCGGCUAACUCCGUGCCAGCAGCCGCGGUAAUAC